rnacentral:rRNA from 1 species
GAUGAACGCUGGCGGCGUGCCUAAUACAUGCAAGUCGAGCGAACAGACGAGGAGCUUGCUCCUCUGACGUUAGCGGCGGACGGGUGAGUAACACGUGGAUAACCUACCUAUAAGACUGGGAUAACUUCGGGAAACCGGAGCUAAUACCGGAUAAUAUAUUGAACCGCAUGGUUCAAUAGUGAAAGACGGUUUUGCUGUCACUUAUAGAUGGAUCCGCGCCGCAUUAGCUAGUUGGUAAGGUAACGGCUUACCAAGGCGACGAUGCGUAGCCGACCUGAGAGGGUGAUCGGCCACACUGGAACUGAGACACGGUCCAGAGUCCUACGGGAGGCAGCAGUAGGGAAUCUUCCGCAAUGGGCGAAAGCCUGACGGAGCAACGCAGCGUGAGUGAUGAAGGUCUUCGGAUCGUAAAACUCUGUUAUUAGGGAAGAACAAAUGUGUAAGUAACUAUGCACGUCUUGACGGUACCUAAUCAGAAAGCCACGGCUAACUACGUG